rnacentral:RNase_P_RNA from 2 species
CAACCACGGCCUCGAACCAGGUGGGUUCGGCAACGACCUACCUGAGGAAACUCCCCCACAAUCCGUGGAUCCCCGCGGGGCAACCCGCCGACCGAGAGGUCGCAGGGGGAUGGUGGCCCAAGUAGGGACCUGUGAUCUCCACGGGUGAGGUCCGGGUAGGGCCUUAGAGCAAUGCUACAGAAGGGGGGUUAUGCCGUAGUUG